UGUAGCACAUCCUUUUACCAACUAUCAUCUUUAUCAUUCAAGCGUUUUACAUUAAUGAUGUUUGACAAAGGGAAUCCAAUAAACAUAUAACACUGAUUAUAGAAAUAUUUGCACGCUGCUGAAGUUUACGUUUGACGGUUAGUAAAAUGUUGCGAUUACCACCUAAAGUUGAUCCACAGGAACAAAAGAAAAUAGCAAGAAGUGGAUGUAUACAGAGUUUUUGCUUAUUUGCCGUGACAUGCGCAGUUAUAAGAUCGAUGCCAUACAUAGUGAAGCAUGUGAAUUCUUAAAGACAAAUGAACUACUGUAGCCCAGUGCAGAGCACCUGAAUGCGUUCGAUGAUUUGUGUAAAGAAAUGGGAGUGACAUUAAAAAGUUGUUCAUGUUAUUGUACAUGCAGAGCAGCUAUUGAAUAAUAAACACCUGAACCCAUGAU